AAAAAUAGGCAUAGCCUAUAUCCACCUUGUGUGCAAACAAUGGAGAGAGAAAAUGGAACAAAAAGAGCACUUCUUCUUUAGAAGAGUGUUGCCAACUUUUCUCUAUAUAUAUUUUUAUAAAUACCAUCAAAAUUCAAAUAAAAUUAUUUUUAAAUAAAAAAUAUUAUA
rnacentral:misc_RNA from 1 species